UAAAAGUCUUAUUUUCAUUAA
rnacentral:piRNA from 1 species